GAAGUCACACGUGGGGCUGCACCAGCGUGGUCAGUGGCCCCUGCCCUGGGGCUGCACAGGGGUCACCUGGCCGGGCGGGAGGCUGCACCCUGUGUCCAAACAGCACAUCUGAGAUCAUCUCGUGGCACCCACACGCUUGUUUUCCCAGAGUCGUCGACAUUUUUAAGCCAGCAUUUCCCAGUUGGCAAAACACAGACCUGUCAAGAGUUCAGCCGGGACAUUAUUCCGGAUCAUCAGACCUCUUGGUCACGCCAUCCUGUCUGUGCCUUGGACCUGCCACUGGCCAGAGAGAUGCUCCGGUGCCCAGUGGCACUUAGUUCUGGAGGGUACUGAUGUUUAACCUCAAAGAGCAAGGGGGAUGCUAAAUGUAUUAUUCAGUACGACCAUUAUUUUUACCUUUCUGUAAAUCAAAUCUACUAAACAUGACCUUUCUCAAGCCAAAUGAUUACUCAAAUUUGUUUAAAAAGUGUGAUAUAUUCUCACACAGACAAGCAAAUGAAAGAAUUAUAAAGCAAACACCCAGGUCCAGGAAUAGAACACUGUCUGCUUGCAGAAGUCUCCCAUG